rnacentral:rRNA from 1 species
CCGGCAAACGGGUGCGGAACACGUACGCAACUUACCCAUAACUGGGGGAUAGCCCGGGGAAACCCGGAUUAAUACCUCGUAAGAUAAUGGAGUGGCAUCACUUUAUUAUUAUAGCUCCGGCGGUUAUGGAUGGGCGUGCGGCUGAUUAGGUAGUUGGUGCGGGUAACGGCCCACCAAGCCUGCGAUCAGUAACUGGUGUGAGAGCACGACCAGUCACACGGGCACUGAGACACGGGCCCG